rnacentral:rRNA from 1 species
AUUAAGCCAUGCAUGUCUAAGUACAAACUAUAUCUUAUAGUGAAACCGCAAAAGGCUCAGUACAACAGCUAUUAUUUAUUUGAUUAUAAAAACAGUUACUUGGAUAACUGUGGUAAUUCCAGAGCUAAUACAUGCAAACAACAUGUCACACGGUGCUUGCAUUGUGAGACAUGUGCUUUUAUUAGAUUAAAACCAUAUCGACUUUCGGGUUGAUUACCUUUAGAUGAAUCUGGAUAAUUUUGGCUGAUCGUAUGGUCUCGUACCGACGACAUAUCAUUCAAAUGUCUGCCCUAUCAACUAUUGAUGGUAGUAUAGAGGACUACCAUGGUUGCAACGGGUAACGGGGAAUCAGGGUUCGAUUCCGGAGAGGGAGCCUGAGAAACGGCUACCACAUCUAAGGAAGGCAGCAGGCGCGUAAAUUACCCAAUCCCGGCACGGGGAGGUAGUGACGAAAAAUAACAAUACAGGACUCACAUCCGAGGCCCUGUAAUUGGAAUGAGUACACUUUAAAUCCUUUAACGAGUAACAAUUGGAGGGCAAGUCUGGUGCCAGCAGCCGCGGUAAUUCCAGCUCCAAUAGCGUAUAUUAAAGUUGUUGCGGUUAAAACGUUCGUAGUUGAAUUUGUGUCCCACACGGGUAAUUGGCCCACUUACGGGUUCUUAUUACUUGCCGGCUUGCUGGCUUUAGUGUGCGGACGUUUUACCGGUGAGGGAAACGGUGUAGUUUCGGCUGCAAUACGCCCCUUAUUUAUUUCAUAAACCCGUCUUGGUGCUUUUAAUCGAGUGCCAAUGUGGGCCGGUACUAUUACUUUGAACAAAUUAGAGUGCUUAAAGCAGGCUAAAUUUAAUGAAAGUUAAAACGCCUGAAUAUAUUUUGCAUGGAAUAAUGGAAUAGGACCUCUGUUCUACUUUCAUUGGUUUUUAGACCAAGAGGUAAUGAUUAAUAGAAGCAGUUGGGGGCAUUAGUAUUACGAGGCGAGAGGUGAAAUUCGUAGACCCUCGUAAGACUAACUUAAGCGAAAGCAUUUGCCAAGGAUGUUUUCAUUAAUCAAGAACGAAAGUUAGAGGAUCGAAGGCGAUCAGAUACCGCCCUAGUUCUAACCAUAAACGAUGCCAGCUAGCAAUUGUAUGUAGCUACUAAUUUUGGUUCAUACAGUCGCUUUCCGGGAAACCAAAGCUUUUGGGCUCCGGGGGAAGUAUGGUUGCAAAGCUGAAACUUAAAGGAAUUGACGGAAGGGCACCACCAGGAGUGGAGCCUGCGGCUUAAUUUGACUCAACACGGGAAAACUCACCCGGCCCGGACACCGUAAGGAUUGACAGACUGAGAGCUCUUUCUUAAUUCGGUGGGUGGUGGUGCAUGGCCGUUCUUAGUUGGUGGAGCGAUUUGUCUGGUUAAUUCCGAUAACGAACGAGACUCUGGCCUAUUAAAUAGACGAUAUAUUUAUUCGUAUAUCGCGCUUCUUAGAGGGACAAGCGGCGUCUAGCCGCAUGAAAUAGAGCAAUAACAGGUCUGUGAUGCCCUUAGAUGUCCGGGGCUGCACGCGCGCUACACUGAAGAGAUCAGCGUGCAUGUGCUUCCUACUCCGAAAGGAGCGGGAAACCGAGUGAACCUUUUUCGUGCUUGGGAUUGGGGAUUGUAAUUAUUCUCCAUGAACGAGGAAUUCCCAGUAAGCACAAGUCAUCAGCUUGUGUUGAUUACGUCCCUGCCCUUUGUACACACCGCCCGUCGCUACUACCGAUUGGAUGUUUUAGUGAGGCCUUCGGACCGGCCGGCGCAGCGGCUCUCGUGGUCGCCACGCUGUGCUAGAAAGAUGUCCAAACUUGAACAUCUAGAGGAAGUAAAAA